rnacentral:rRNA from 1 species
ACGGAGAGUUUGAUCCUGGCUCAGGGUUAACGCUGGCGGUGCGCAUAACACAUGCAAGUCGAGCGAGGGCUCAUUUCCCGCAAGGGCGAUGAGUUCCUAGCGGCGAACGGGUGAGUAACACGUGGGCAACCUUUCCUAUCGCGGGGGAUAACAGCGGGAAACCGCUGCUAAUACCGCAUGUUGUCACCGGUCGCAUGGCCGGUGAACAAAGCAGCAAUGCACGAUGGGGUGGGCCCGCGGCCUAUCAGCUAGUCGGUGGGGUAACGGCCUACCGAGGCGAUGACGGGUAGCUGGUCUGAGAGGACGACCAGCCACACGGGGACUGAGACACGGCCCCGACUCCUACGGGAGGCAGCAGUGAGGAAUCUUCCGCAAUGGGCGAAAGCCUGACGGAGCG